GAUGAACGCUGGCGGCGUGCCUAAUACAUGCAAGUCGAACGCUGGAGAUCUAGCUUGCUAGCUCGAAGGAGUGGCGAACGGGUGAGUAAUACAUAAGCAACCUACCCACGAAGACUGGGAUAAUCUCUGGAAACGGGGACUAAUACCGGAUAGGUAAUCGGAAGGCAUCUUCUGGUUAUUAAAGGUUAAAAACACUGGUGGAUGGGCUUAUGGCGCAUUAGUUAGUUGGUGAGGUAACGGCCCACCAAGACGAUGAUGCGUAGCCGGCCUGAGAGGGUGAACGGCCACAUUGGGACUGAGACACGGCCCAGACUCCUACGGGAGGCAGCAGUAGGGAAUUUUCGGCAAUGGGGGCAACCCUGACCGAGCAACGCCGCGUGAGUGAAGACGGCCUUCGGGUUGUAAAGCUCUGUUGUAAGGGAAGAACGGUAGAUAGAGAAUAUCUAAGUGACGGUACCUUACCAGAAAGCCACGGCUAACUACGUG
rnacentral:rRNA from 1 species